GUCACAGCAGGAAAUCAACUCAGGAAUUUUAAUUUUUAAAAUCAUACGUUCCACUAUAAUGAGGGGAUAUCAGUAAACAAUUUCAUAAUCAAACGCCGAUUCCAUUUCCAACAUUUUCAUAUGACCGAACCAGCUAGGAACACACAGAACAUGAAUUUCACAGAAUGGGACAGUUUUACUAAUAAGAACUAGUUGAGUAGUGGCGUUUUCGGACAAUGGAAUCCACAAUUGAGUACUUUCCAGAUCGGGAUCUGGAAAG